UCUGGCAGCGAGGAGAUCUUGGCAGUCUGCGGUGGCGCCCUUUUGCUGGAGUUGAGGCGGUGCAGCGUUGGGAAGAGGCGGAGCCUGUCAGCGGGACUCAUGGCCUGUUUCAGGACUUACGCUCUGGCCACCGUCCACAGAGAAGGAGAUGUCGCUGAGGACAGCACGUCCAGCCUCUGUGUAUUUGACAGUGAGGCCCUGGACGUCCAUCUGACCGCGGUUGGGCCAGCAGUCGUGGGCGUGAGGGUUGUUGAUGACGAGGUCUGAGCCUCCUUUACCACCAGAUUUUCCUGGCAGUGGCUCCUCUGAUGGCAGGUCGAUGAAUUUGAACACGCGAUCCACUGAACGCAUCUAAGAGGAGGACAAAAGAAGGAUGACGGGAUCUACAAGUGACAGGGACCCGUACAGUGUAAAUGCAGAUUGUUGCUGCUAAUCAUUUCCAAUGUUCAAGUUGGUUUAGGACAUAAACCAGCAACUAUCCACAGCUCUGCUCCUGACAUUCAGAAGAAAAAUAAAUCACUGUUGCACUGA